GACGAACGCUGGCGGCGUGCUUAACACAUGCAAGUCGAACGAUGAAGCUGGAGCUUGCUCUAGCGGAUUAGUGGCGAACGGGUGAGUAACACGUGAGCAAUCUGCCCUUGACUCUGGGAUAACUGCGGGAAACUGUAGCUAAUACCGGAUACUUUCACCGGGGGGCAUCCUCUGGUGAUGAAAGAAUUUCGGUCAAGGAUGAGCUCGCGGCCUAUCAGCUUGUUGGUGAGGUAACGGCUCACCAAGGCGACGACGGGUAACCGGCCUGAGAGGGUGACCGGUCACACUGGGACUGAGACACGGCCCAGACUCCUAGGGGAGGCAGCAGUGGGGAAUAUUGCACAAUGGGCGCAAGCCUGAUGCAGCAACGCCGCGUGAGGGAUGACGGCCUUCGGGUUGUAAACCUCUUUUAGUAGGGAAGAAGCGAAAGUGACGGUACCUGCAGAAAAAGCACCGGCUAACUACGUGCCAGCAGCCGCCGUAA
rnacentral:rRNA from 1 species